GAUGAACGCUGGCGGCGUGCCUAAUACAUGCAAGUCGAGCGAACAGACGAGGAGCUUGCUCCUCUGACGUUAGCGGCGGACGGGUGAGUAACACGUGGAUAACCUACCUAUAAGACUGGGAUAACUUCGGGAAACCGGAGCUAAUACCGGAUAAUAUAUUGAAUCGCAUGGUUCAAUAGUGAAAGACGGUUUUGCUGUCACUUAUAGAUGGAUCCGCGCCGCAUUAGCUAGUUGGUAAGGUAACGGCUUACUAAGGCAACGAUGCGUAGCCGACCUGAGAGGGUGAUCGGCCACACUGGAACUGAGACACGGUCCAGACUCCUACGGGAGGCAGCAGUAGGGAAUCUUCCGCAAUGGGCGAAAGCCUGACGGAGCAACGCCGCGUGAGUGAUGAAGGUCUUCGGAUCGUAAAACUCUGUUAUUAGGGAAGAACAAAUGUGUAAGUAACUAUGCACGUCUUGACGGUACCUAAUCAGAAAGCCACGGCUAACUACGUG
rnacentral:rRNA from 1 species